rnacentral:misc_RNA from 1 species
GAUGAAGAACGUAUCGAAAUGCGAUAAGUAGUGUGAAUUGCAGAAUUCAGUGAAUCAUCGAAUCUUUGAACGCACAUUGCGCCCCUUGGUAUCCCGAGGGGCAUGCCUGUUCGAGCGUCAUUUCACCACUCAAGCCUGGCUUGGUGUUGGGCGACGUCCCCUUUGGGGACGCGCCUCGAAACGCUCGGCGGCGUGGCACCGGCUUUAAGCGUAGCAGAAUCUUUCGCUUUGGAAGUCGGGGCCCCGUCUGCCGGAAGACCUACUCGCAAGGUUGACCUCGGAUCAGGUAGGGAUACCCGCUGAACUUAAGCAUAUCAAUAAGCGGAGGA